rnacentral:rRNA from 1 species
CGGGGGCGCAGGCGCACCCAGAAACCCUUUGUGACUUAUACCUAUUAUCGUUGCCUCGGCGCUGGCUGCCCUGCCCCCUCGGGGGCGGGGGCCCCCUUCUCCGGAGGGGACAGCAGAGCCCGCCGGCGGCCUACUUAACUCUUGUUUUUACUGAGUAUCUUCUGAGUAAAGCUUCUAAAUGAAUCAAAACUUUCAACAACGGAUCUCUUGGUUCUGGCAUCGAUGAAGAACGCAGCGAAAUGCGAUAAGUAAUGUGAAUUGCAGAAUUCAGUGAAUCAUCGAAUCUUUGAACGCACAUUGCGCCCUCUGGUAUUCCAGAGGGCAUGCCUGUUCGAGCGUCAUUUCAACCCUCAAGCCUAGCUUGGUGUUGGGGCAUUACCUGAACUGUUUCUUUACAGGAGGGUAAGCCCUGAAAUUCAGUGGCGAGCUCGCCAGGACUCCGAGCGCAGUAGUAAAACCCUCGCUUUGGAUCGUACUGGCGCGGCCCUGCCGUAAAACCCCCAACUUCUGAAAAUUUGACCUCGGAUCAGGUAGGAAUACCCGCUGAACUUAAGCAUAUCAAUAG